CAUGAACAUGGAGCCUUCUGCUGAGAACAUAAGCCCAGAGGAGCAGGAGAUGAUUCAGCUGGCAGAGGAUGCAGAGAGGAGUGCAGAGUGCCUGAGGCCUUAGGACCAUGGAUGAGAGCUGUUACUGCCUCCUUUUGGAUCUGCUUUCCUCUUUCCCUGCCAACAUCAGGAUGCUAAACUACAAUACCACCACCACAUAUGGGCGGCCCUUAUUUUGUCAGCAAACCCUAUUCUUUCAUACUUUGAGUUCCUUACUUGACCAUAACUGUUAUGGAAUAUUUGUUAACUGUUUUGAGUGCAUAGGAUUUCCCACAUUUUGCCAAACCAAUUGAGACAUUUGUAAUAAACUUGUA